CGGACGGGUGAGUAACGCGUGAGUGAUCUGCCUCUGAGUGGGGGAUAACCUUCCGAAAGGGGGGCUAAUACCGCAUGACAUCCUGUUCUUGGAUGAACGGUGAUCGAAGCUAGGGACCGCAAGGCCUGGCGCUUGGAGAGGAGCCCGCGUCCGAUUAGCUAGUUGGUGGGGUAAUGGCCUACCAAGGCGACGAUCGGUAGCCGGCCUGAGAGGGCGGACGGCCACACUGGGACUGAGACACGGCCCAGACUCCUACGGGAGGCAGCAGUGGGGAAUUGUUCGCAAUGGGCGCAAGCCUGACGACGCAACGCCGCGUGGGGGAUGAAGGUCUUCGGAUUGUAAACCCCUGUUGGGUGGGACGAACAUCGUCGAGGUGAAUAGCCUAGACGACUGACGGUACCACCUGAGGAAGCCCCGGCUAACUCUGUGCCAGCAGCCGCGGUAAUACAGAGGGGGCAAGCGUUGUUCGGAAUUACUGGGCGUAAAGGGCGCGUAGGCGGCCUGUUAAGUCGGACGUGAAAUCCCUCGGCUCAACCGGGGAACUGCGUCUGAUACUGGCGGGCUUGAGUUCGGGAGAGGGAUGUGGAAUUCCAGGUGUAGCGGUGAAAUGCGUAGAUAUCUGGAGGAACACCGGUGGCGAAGGCGGCAUCCUGGACCGACACUGACGCUGAGGCGCGAAAGCCAGGGGAGCAAAUGGGAUUAGAUACCCCAGUAGUC
rnacentral:rRNA from 1 species